AUCGAUAAUUUGGGCGAGAAGUGACGCAAUUCAGCUUCGGCUUCAGCUUCCUGUCGCCAUGGCGCUCUCGCCAUUUUUAACCAAUCCUUCUUCUUCUUCUUCUUCUUCUCUUCUGCAUUCUUCAUCGCCAUCGUUCUGCUUUUUUCUUCGCCAUGCUGAAAGCCCGUCUUCAAUCUUCGUCGCACCUCUUCGAUUCAAAAUUCGUUGUUCUAACAACGCAAUCGAAGUUGAAACCCAACCACCCCGUCGAAUCCGAGUGGAUUUUGAAGUAAAGAAGAAGCGGAAGCUCAGGCCCAGCUUCCUCGAGCAAAUUCGCCAUAAGUGGUCGACAAAACCGACUUCCUCAAGAGAGAAGUUCCCCUGGCAGCAGCAAGAACAAGAUAGAGAGCAGAAGGAGGAGGAGGAAGAGGAAGAACGGAUUGGCUAUGAAGAUUCUGUUUCAAUUCGCGACUCAACGACUAAUGUAACUCAAGCGGUUCCUAUAGGUCGCCCAAUUUCGGCCCCUUGGGCUCACGGUAGCAAAUCCAGAAAUUCGCAGUUCGAUUUCCAACCUAAAACGCCAGAAGGUGAAGUGUUUAAUGAGAUAUCCGAGGAUUUUUCCGAUGAUUCAAGUAAUCGCGACGCAAGUACGAGAAGUUUUGACGAUGAUGUUUCUCCUGGUGGAAACUCGAAUGGAGAAAUUAGUGAACGUAUUGAUGAAAUUUCACUGGAAUUUUCGGAAGACGAGGAGGAAAUUAAUCCUGUAGAUCUCAACGUUCUGCCGAUUACUGAAAAACGUUCACCGUCGAGCAAAAAAUUUGUUCGUUCUGUCAAUUCUGAUAAUGAUAGCAAUGGUCCAGUUGAUUUGCCAUGGAAGAGAGAGCCGCGUAGGGAUUCUGAAGAAGUUGAUCAGAGAAGCAGCAAAACAUUAUUGGCUGAGAAAACGCUUCCUGAGCACGAAUUGCGGAGGCUCAGGAACAUUUCUUUGAGAAUGCUGGAAAGAAUUGAAGUGGGGGUCGCAGGUAUAACUCAAGAACUGGUGGAUACCAUUCAUGAGAAGUGGAAGGUAGAUGAAGUUGUCAAGUUGAAAUUUGAAGGGCCUCUUACUGUCAACAUGAGGAGGGCACACGAGACAUUAGAGAAUAGAACGGGCGGAUUGGUCGUGUGGAGGUCGGGUAGUAUGAUAGUAUUGUAUAGGGGAAUGACAUACCACCUGCCUUGUGUUCAAUCUUAUGCCAAACAAAAUCAAGCUAAAAGUUGUAGAUUGGAUGGUUCAAACAAUGUAGAAUAUGAUGCUAACACGGUCAGAACUAUGAGUACAAUUGUUUCCGGUGCUUCAAAGCAUACCAAGACGUUAUCUGAAAAGGAACUCGCGGAGUUGAGUGAUCUGAACCUUUUGUUAGAUGAGAUAGGUCCGCGUUUUAAGGAUUGGUCAGGCUGUGAGCCAUUGCCUGUUGAUGCAGACCUGCUUCCUGGUAUAGUUCCGGGAUACAAACCUCCAACUAGAAUUCUGCCUUAUGGGGUAAGACAUUGCCUCAGGGACAAGGAGGUGACUGCUUUUCGUAGGCUUGCAAGAAAAAUGCCUCCACAUUUUGCUUUAGGAAGGAAUAGACAACUGCAAGGUUUGGCCAAUGCUAUGGUAAAGCUAUGGGGAAAAUGUGCAAUUGCAAAGAUUGCUAUAAAACGAGGUGUAGAAAAUACACGUAAUGAGAGAAUGGCAGAAGAACUCAGGAUAUUGACAGGAGGAACGCUACUCUCUAGAAACAAGGAAUAUAUUGUUUUCUAUAGGGGCAACGAUUACCUGCCACCCACAAUCACAGAUGCAUUGAAAGAAAGGCGGAAGCUAGCAGAUCUUCAGCAAGAUGUCGAAGAGAAGGCGCGACAGAUGGCUUCAACUUCAGUUGAGUCAAAAGUGAAAGCUUCAAAUGCUCCAUUGGUUGCUGGUACACUGGCAGAAACCAUUGCAGCAACUUCUCGUUGGGGAAGCCAACAAAGUGGUCAAGAUAUUGAGACUAUGAGAGAAGAUUCAGCUUUAGCAAAACUUGAAUAUCUAAUUGAAGAUCUCAAGAAGAAACUAGCUCUUGCAAAAGGGAAGGUAACAAAAGCUGAGAAGAUUAUAGCAAAAUUGCAGGGGAAGAAAGAACCAGCAGAGCUUCCCACUGAUUUGGAGACCAUAACCGAUGAGGAACGACUUCUAUUCCGUAAGAUCGGUCUGAGUAUGAAACCAUAUCUGCUCUUAGGGAGGCGUGGUGUUUACGAUGGCACCAUUGAGAACAUGCACUUGCAUUGGAAGUUUAGAGAGUUAGUAAAGAUAAUUGUGAGAGGAAAAACUCUACAACAAGUCAAGCAUAUAGCAAUCUCUCUGGAAGCAGAGAGCGAUGGAGUGGUGGUUUCUUUGGAUAAAACUACAAAAGGCUAUGCGGUUAUCGUCUAUCGUGGGAAAAAUUAUACCCGUCCUGAUGCACUGAGGCCUAAAAACAUGUUGACUAGAAGACAGGCAUUGGCUCGAUCAAUCGAAUUACAGAGACGUGAGGCACUGAAGCACCAUAUUUUAGAUUUGGAGGAAAAAAUUGAGCUGCUGAAGGUUGAGCUGGAAGAACGGAGAAAUGGGAAAUGGCUCUUGAAAGAUUGACAUUCUUUGCCGGUAGAACCACUGAAGUGUUGUCAUGUGUAGUUGCUUUGGAACCGGGCAACUAGUCAUUAUGAGAAUGGCACUUUUGGUUUGCAGCAGUGAAGUACAAAUUUCCUUUCAUUUUGGAGCAAACGAACAUUAUUUCAAGACAAAGGAGAUCAGAUUUGGAGCUCAAGAACAAACACCAUGGAGUUAAAAGCAUCAUUAAACCCAAAGUGGGUGUGGAAGAUCUUGAGUAUGAUCUAUCACUUCACCUGUCUGCAGAAGAUGAGAGGCUGAUGAGCUUUUACAAGUCAAUGGCUUAUCGGUAGAGUUUACCUUAUCUGUCUCUUUCUCCUGUUGAAGGAAUGAUCUUAUCGAACUCUCGAGCAUCGUUGACUGGAAUUACUGCAUCUUCAGUUCCAUGGACUGUCAACACUCUGUACAAACAUCAUAAGUUCAUCACUAGUUAAGCUAUUUUUCUCCUUCAACAUGAGAAUUAUACAUUUCUAUA